UUUCCGUAGGUGAACCUGCGGAAGGAUCAUUAUUGUAUAACCGAGGUGCGAGGGCUGUCGCUGACCCGAAAGGUCGUGCACGCCCGUGUGCCCUCACACACAUCCAUCUCACCCCUAUGUGCACCACCGCGUGGGUUCCCCUUUGGCUUGUUCGGAGGGGGGCUUACGUUUUCACACAAACUUUGUAUGCAGUGUAGAAUGUAUUUUUUGUUUUUGCGAUCACGCAAUCAAUACAACUUUCAACAACGGAUCUCUUGGCUCUC
rnacentral:misc_RNA from 1 species